UAUGAACUCACUCAGAAUGUU
rnacentral:piRNA from 1 species